GCGCCUAACCGCUUCGCCCACUCGAGCCGGACGCGAGCAGCACGGGGAAACUCCUCCUCCGUCACCGGGAAACAGAAGACCCGCCGCCCUGGUCCCUGAUUUACCCCGUGCCCGUGGUGGGUGGGCGAGCAACAGGGCAGAAAUGAGUAAGAAAUCUGGAUAUGCUGCCGGAUAUGCUUCCAGAUCAGGACAAUGCUUUCGAGAGAUAAGACCGGGAAAAUGACAAAGCAGAUAUCACACUACAUUUAGCCUCACCGACGAUCUAUUCUGCACCAACACAAGAAGUAGAGGAAAUAGUCCAUCCCUAAAACCAAAGCGAUAUGACAGAAAAGGGCAAACGAAUGCUGGCUGCGCAAAGUAUUACAAAUUGCAGACAGAUGCUACGGUGCUUACAUGUUACUCCGUCUAUUCAAGAACAUACAUAGUUUUUGACAAGACAUGAUCAACUGUAAUGUUAAUAUUUUUCAUAUGAUCCAAAUAUCUUUAUGCGUAUUAGACUAUUAGUAGCCAAAUUAAACAAAGUUUGUGCAUAAGGUUGAACAAGUUUGACCAGUAGUAAAUCCUGAAGUUGUCAGUUUUUUCCGGCGAAACCCGGAGGGAGUAAAUUUCAUGCCUACUAGU